GACGAACGCUGGCGGCGUGCUUAACACAUGCAAGUCGAACGGACAGGCCCUGAUCUUGUGGGGUGCUCGAGUGGCGAACGGGGGAGUAACACGUGAGUAAACUGCCCCUGACUUUGGGAUAACUUCAGGAAAAUGGGGCUAAUACCGGAUAGGAGCUACUGCUGCAUGGUGGGGGUUGGAAAGUUUCGGCGGUUGGGGAUGGACGCGCGGCUUAUCAGCUUGUUGGUGGGGUAGCGGCUUACCAAGGCUUUGACGGGUAGCCGGCCUGAGAGGGUGACCGGCCACAUUGGGACUGAGGUACGGCCCAGACUCCUACGGGAGGCAGCAGUGGGGAAUAUUGCACAAUGGGCGGAAGCCUGAUGCAGCAGCGCCGCGUGCGGGAUGACGGCCUUCGAGUUGUAAACCGCUUUCGCCUGUGACGAAGCGUGAGUGACGGUAAUGGGUAAAGAAGCACCGGCUAACUACGUG
rnacentral:rRNA from 1 species